GAUAUGAAUGUACCUUCUUUAAAGUUUAUCUUUUGUAAACACCAUUCACAGCAUGACUGACAGUACCUACAACAAGAUUUUAUACAGGGCACAUUUAGCAUCCAGGCUGUCGGGAUGCCGACAGUCAAGUGACUGACGCUGGAAACCUGACACCACUCAGGAGACCGACGCCGGAUCACUGACAGCUGACAUACUGAAUCCCACCAUGUAGCCAGCUGGACAUCAUCAAACUGUCAUGGAGGCCUGGAGCUGUAAUCUCAUCUGCGCCAUCAUUAAUCUGACCCUGAGUGUAAAAUUUAUAUUUAUUACUUCAAUAAACUAAUUGUAUA